rnacentral:misc_RNA from 1 species
GGUUGAGUUCGGUGGGGUGGCUCACAUCGCUGGUUGACAGUUGCGUCGUGCCAGCGUAAACCGGGCACCCGUGCUCCGCGGCUGAGCGUCCGUGACUACGUAGGUUCCCCCGGCGAGAUUGCACCUUCUCACCGAUGGCGGAAGUGCGGUCGCGGCCUACCGUGGAGUCACAUCGUUGAAGAUCGGAGGCAACCAUGUCCCAGCUGGCGUUUCGGUCGCAAACCAUGGCGCGAGGACACCGGGUCGCUUUGCGAUACAUGCUCGGGGGUCUGCUCGCCUCCGGCGCCCUCAACGCCUUCGCCGGUGGCUACUACG